rnacentral:rRNA from 1 species
ACGGAGGAUGCAAGCGUUAUCCGGAUUCAUUGGGCUUAAAGGGUGCGUAGGCGGGGUAAUAAGUCAGUGGUGAAAGCCUACAGCUUAACCGUAGAAUUGCCGUUGAUACUGUUAUCCUUGAGUAUAGUUGAGGUAGGUGGAAUGUGUGGUGUAGCGGUGAAAUGCUUAGAUAUCACGCGGAACACCAGUUGCGAAGGCGGGUUACUAGACUAUAACUGACGCUGAGGCACGAAAGCGUGGGGAGCAAACAG